rnacentral:tRNA from 1 species
GAGGGUAUAGCUCAGUGGUAGAGUGUGUGCCUAGGAUGCACGAAGUCCUAGGUUCAAUCCCGGACCUCCA